ACUAUUUUGACAGACUAAUGUGUUGAAUUUAGAAUUCAAAAAUGUAAUUUAUAUUACAAAUAGUA
rnacentral:tRNA from 1 species